rnacentral:rRNA from 1 species
AUGGAUCUCCUCCAGUCCUCGUACGCGCCUGGUGACGCAUCCUCGCCGGAGGACGAGUCGCUCUCCUCCCCGGACACCUCCCCACUCCGCCUCCCCUCCAAGUCCGCCGCCCCCGCCGUCGAUGAGACAGCGCUCGCGCUAUCCGCCGCCGCCACUUCCACCUCCCGUCCUAUCGACCCCUCCCUCCACCUCAUCCCCUUCAACCCCACCGCCGACCAGCUCUGGGCGCCCGUCCUCGGUCCUCAGCACCCCCACGCGCCUAUCUCAUCCGCAUCUGGUCACCGUAACCACAAGCUCGGUCAUGUCGAAGACGCAGCGCUCCUCCCCUUCCUCUUCGACGAGCAGUAUAACACUUUCCAUCGCUUCGGCUACGCAUCUGACCCCUCCGGCCUCCACAUCAUCGGCGACGCGCAGCCACAGGCGCCCGACCUCGACACCGUCUACAACCUCCCUCCUUCUGAGCACAAGCGCCGCCGCAUCCAAUCCAGGGAGGAAAACCACGAGCCCCUCCCCCCAGAGGCCCAAAACCCUGCAUCCGACGAGUGGGUCGUGCACAACAAAAAGAGUCCCUGGGCUGGCAAUCGGGAGGGCCCGCCUGUGGAGCUCACGGACGAGCAGAGACAGUACGCCGAGGCACAUGCGGCCAAGAAGGCUGAGAAGGAGGCACGAGGUGAAGGGAAGGAGAAAACAGAGGUGGUGGUCAAGAGCACCUUCCAUGGGAAGGAGGAGAAGGACUACCAGGGACGAUCGUGGAUCACUCCACCCAAGGAUGCCAAGGCGACCAACGAGCGCUGUUAUAUUCCCAAGAGGUGUGUACACGAGUGGGUUGGACACACCAAGGGGGUCUCAGCGAUCAGAUUUUCUCCCAAGUAUGGCCAUCUAUUGCUGUCUGCAAGUAUGGAUUGUAAGAUUAAAAUCUGGGACGUGCUUGAGUCGAAGACAUGUAUGCGGACGUACAUGGGGCACUCCAAGGCGGUACGGGAUAUAUCGUUCUCUAAUGACGGUAGUAAGUUCUUGAGUGCUGGCUAUGACCGGAAUAUUCAGUAUUGGGAUACUGAAACUGGGCAGGUGAUCUCGACCUUCUCUACUGGUAAGGUACCUUAUGUCGUGAAGCUCAAUCCUGAUGAAGAUAAGCAGCAUAUUCUCCUUGCUGGGAUGAGUGACAAGAAGAUCGUGCAGUGGGAUAUGAAGUCAGGGCAGAUCACACAGGAAUAUGAUCAGCACUUGGGGGCGGUGAACACUAUUACCUUUGUAGAUAAUAAUAGGAGGUUUGUGACAUCUAGCGAUGACAAGUCUCUUCGUGUGUGGGAGUUUGGCAUCCCUGUAGUUAUUAAGUAUAUCAGUGAGCCGCACAUGCACUCCAUGCCGUCUAUUGCAGUACACCCAAACUCUAACUGGCUGGCAGCACAGAGCUUGGACAAUCAGAUACUGAUAUACAGCACGAAGGAAAGGUUUCAACUUAAUAAGAAGAAAAGGUUUGCAGGCCACAUUGUGGCAGGUUAUGCUUGUCAGGUGAGCUUCUCUCCUGAUGGGAGGUUUGUGAUGUCAGGAGACGGUGAAGGUAGUUGCUGGUUCUGGGACUGGAAAAGCUGCAGGAGAUUCAAGACAUUGAAGUGCCACAAUGGAGUUUGCAUUGGAUGUGAGUGGCAUCCGUUGGAGACUAGCAAGGUUGCAACGUGUGGAUGGGAUGGUGUCAUAAAAUACUGGGAUUAA